ACUUUUAGGGUGGAGGAGGGGCUAGUUUUAAAGGAAGAGAAUCCAACUCUCCUGCUCCUGGUCCUACUAGAAGGGCCAAUAGUGGAGAGUGGAAACCUACAUCAAGUCUAGUGAAGCUUCUAAAGGGUGGUCUAAGAGUGGGCUGAGAAGAGGUAGAAGGCUGAGAGGUAGGUGGCUAGGUAGGAGGUGUGCUUUGGGAU
rnacentral:lncRNA from 1 species